rnacentral:ncRNA from 1 species
GACUCGGGGUGCCCUGCGCGAUGUGCGGUGGCUGAGAUUUUACCCGUAUUACCUGAUCUGGAUUAUGCCAGCGUAGGGAAGUC